rnacentral:rRNA from 1 species
ACAGAGGUCCCAAGCGUUGUUCGGAUUCACUGGGCGUAAAGGGUGCGUAGGUGGCCGGGUAAGUCUGAUGUGAAGUCUCCGAGCUCAACUCGGAAAUGGCAUUGGAUACUAUCCGGCUAGAGGGUCGGAGGGGGGACUGGAAUUCUCGGUGUAGCAGUGAAAUGCGUAGAUAUCGAGAGGAACACCGGUGGCGAAGGCGGCAUCCUGGACCGGCAUUGACGCUGAGGCGCGAAAGCCAGGGGAGCAAACGGGA